UACGUAGGGUGCAAGCGUUAAUCGGAAUUACUGGGCGUAAAGCGUGCGCAGGCGGUGAUGUAAGACAGUUGUGAAAUCCCCGGGCUCAACCUGGGAACUGCAUCUGUGACUGCAUCGCUGGAGUGCGGCAGAGGGGGAUGGAAUUCCGCGUGUAGCAGUGAAAUGCGUAGAUAUGCGGAGGAACACCGAAUGGCGAAGGCAAUCCCCGUGGGCCUGCACUGACGCUCAUGCACGAAAGCGUGGGAGCAACAGG
rnacentral:rRNA from 1 species